rnacentral:lncRNA from 1 species
UUUUUUUUUAAUUUUUUUUUUUUUUAAAGAUUUAUUUAUUAAUAUAUGUAAGUACACUGUAGCUGUCUUCAGACACUCCAGAAGAGGAAGUCAGAUCUUGUUGUGGAUGGUUGUGAGCCACCAUGUGGUUGCUGGGAUUUGAACUCUGGACCUUUGGAAGAGCAGUCGGGUGCUCUUACCCACUGAGCCAUCUCACCAGCCCGCUUUUACUCAUUUCUAAUAGCGAUUCAUUGUGCUUGAGGAAGACCCAAACUUGCCUCCAUGGCUCAGUGAGUGUUAUAGCUUGUGGCUCCUAUGUAUUGCUCCGUGGUAUUGUAUAUGACCCUAAUUGUAUAUGACCCUGCUGCAAGGAAGUUUGUAGAUGAAGGAAUUAAGACAUUAGAAGGUAAAUAUGAUAGAAGUCACUAAGUCCAAGUUAAAAUCUCCAGGAAGGCCAUCUUGGAAAUCCUAUUCAAAUAAAUGUAAAUAAAUGAAUGUAAAUGCAAAUAAAAGUGUUUUCACAAUUAAAUCAUUCAGAAUUACUAAUUUUCUUCUUGAACAAGUCAAGCUCCAAGGAUAGUUCUUAUCCAUGGAAACAUCAUGAAUUGUUUCUCUACCUGAAAUGGUUUUCCUUUGGUCUCUCAAAUAUCUGGUCUUCAUUCGUAUGUCAGUUUUAGCAUCUCACAGGUCUCUACUUCCUGUCCAGUCUAAAGUAAGACAUAGCUACUCUGAUAUCACACUAUAUGCAUCUACCUGACAUUGUGCUUGUUUAUAUGUGUAUCUGUUGUCUCUCUCUACAUCUUGGCAUUAGAAGUGUCUUGUCUACGUAGCGUUUUCAGCACAUACUAGGCCCUCAAACAAUCUGUCGAAUUAAUGAAUGUUCUAGUGCCCACAGGUGUGUAUGAGUGUUAUGACAGCUAGCUACUUAGGUGUCUUUUUAUGCUCAAGGUCAUGGUUGUCCACCAAUUGACUGAAGAUUCAAACACUCUUUGGAUAAAAUGGGCAUUAGCAAAGUUACCAUGCAGCAUCCAGCAGUUCCUGUUUAGCUGAGUAUUAACUCUGUACCUGACAAUAGAAGACAUCCCGAUUAUCACAAAGACUUUGGUUUUCUCCUGCUAUUGAGAUGGUGUUUUUUACUUGUUGUUGUUGUUACAGACCAUCUGCUGCAAGGAAGUUUGUAGAUGAAGGAAUUAAGACAUUAGAAGGUAAAUAUGAUAGAAGUCACUAAGUCCAAGUUAAAAUCUCCAGGAAGGCCAUCUUGGAAAUCCUGUUCAAAUAAAUGUAAAUAAAUGAAUGUAAAUGCAAAUAAAAGUGUUUUCACAACUACAUCAUAGAGAGCAGAUCUAGAGUAAGGUCCGCUUUCCUGUCUUAGAUAUUUUUAGGUUUGUG